GGAAGUUCAUCGGCUGACCAACUCAUCAACCCUCAAUUUCCUGAAGUAUUAGUAGCUGGAGCUGUGAACGCGCUCUGGCAAAAUAGUCCUUUCGCUCUGGUGUAAAACAAGAAAAAAAGCAUCACUCCUCCAAUGGAAAGGCUGGAAUCAUCAAAUAUUUGGUAUUUUUGCUUCAAAAAUGUCUUUAAUAAAAAUAAUUGCUGGUUGA